rnacentral:rRNA from 1 species
UACGUAGGGUGCAAGCGUUUAAUCGGAAUUACUGGGCGUAAAGCGUGCGCAGGCGGUUUUGUAAGUCUGACGUGAAAUCCCCGGGCUCAACCUGGGAAUUGCGUUGGAGACUGCAAGGCUAGAAUCUGGCAGAGGGGGGUAGAAUUCCACGUGUAGCAGUGAAAUGCGUAGAGAUGUGGAGGAACACCGAUGGCGAAGGCAGCCCCCCUGGGUCAAGACUGACGCUCAUGCACGAAAGCGUGGGGAGCAAACGGG